UAGCGUGCCUAGGAAAGUGAGGAUGAACGGGCAAUGCAACAGGUGCUGCGGGCGCAAGUAGCCGGGGAAGUUGCAUGCGGACGUUGCGCGAUCUAGGCGGGAUAUAAGCCGGCGUUGGCACGCCGGACUUACACCAGUCUUAUUCUACCUUACUGGGUCAAUGUAACAGUAUAAGGAAAGCUAGUCUACGCGAGCCUGCUACUCAGUAUACCGGAUGCGAUAGGAAACUUGCCAAACACCGCGUAUUUCCAACAGGUUAUGAGCCCCGGCGCUCUCUGAGUGUCCGUGUAGGUGUUCUAGGCAUUAUCGCGGUUACUGAUAGCGUUUAGGCUUGGCGCGAUUUUGGUCGCUCUGGUCGCUGAGCACCAUGGGCCUUCCUAAGCUCGACAAGCUGAAGGACGCGAAAGGCUGGCGCGCAUUCCGCGUGGACUUCUGGGCGAUGUGCGUCGUGGAGGAGUGCGUCGACGCCAUCGAUGCUCCCAUGCGCGUUACUCGCGAGCAGCAGCGGCGUGCGCACAAGAAGACGUACUACCACCCGUCGCGCAUCAGCCCGCAGCACGUUGCGCUGUGAACGGCUGAAGCGGAAAGCGCGGCCGUGGGAGCUGCGUGUACUGUGCUAGUGACGGCGUGCUUUGCCGUGGCGCUGGCUGUAUGCUGAGUAUGUUGGUGAAGCAAUCACUGCAUGGAGCUAGCUGGAGCUGGAGCUAAGGAGCUAGUGUGCGACGCGCGAAGUUUAGAAGCAUGGUUACGGGACCGGAUAUGGGUUUCCGUGGGAGCCAUCGUGCAGUAGUUGGUAACGCCGGAUUGUGCGUGCCUGAGCCAUGUGCAGGACCAUAUGCGUGGCAGACACUGCAGACUUGCGGCGUGCAAGUACUGUGACGUAAUGACUGCGGUGAUAGCAGCAUGCGUGAUUAGCUGCAGGUUAUAUGCAGCGGUUGGUACUGCGGUUAAGCAGUGCUGUUGUCUACCAAGGGCGCGAGCGGCCUAGCUUGCCAAGGGUGUAGACGUGUGUGCGAAGUGUGUGACUUGCGGAUUGAGCAAGCACGACGGUUAGGUCUUGUCCGACUAAACAAGCCUGGUAGCAUGUUUGCCGGUGUGCGCAACAUGAGAUUGAUUGAUUGAUGCGAUGCGGUAUAAGCAUGUGGGUAGGAUGAUGCAAUGGACAUGCGAGAUGCAGCGGAAAGCGUACGGUGAUUAAGACAUGCGAUUUAUUGACUGACCCAUCUAGCGUGAGACGGCUAGAGUCGCGUGGGAGCUACGUUAGCUGUGGAGGCAUGAGUAGUGCAGGAUGUGCGAAAUGAUUGACGUGUGUUCGUGCCGUCGACCACGUGGGAGUGUUGGAAAGUCGCCGGUAUGGUCGACUGUCACUCACACUAGUUACACGGGUUACACCGAACGUUAGGCAAUGCAGGAAGUAGCGUGCCUAGGAAAGUGAGGAUGAACGGGCAAUGCAACAGGUGCUGCGGGCGCAAGUAGCCGGGGAAGUUGCAUGCGGACGUUGCGCGAUCUAGGCGGGAUAUAAGCCGGCGUUGGCACGCCGGACUUACACCAGUCUUAUUCUACCUUACUGGGUCAAUGUAACAGUAUAAGGAAAGCUAGUCUACGCGAGCCUGCUACUCAGUAUACCGGAUGCGAUAGGAAACUUGCCAAACACCGCGUAUUUCCAACAGCAGUGGAUGUCUCUGGUCGGCCGGACACCGCUGGCUGACU
rnacentral:lncRNA from 1 species